AUGAGCACGGAGGAAACCAGCAAGCUUUUGGAGAGGAUGACAUUACAGGAUGAAGAAGAGGAUGACCUAGUCUGGGAAGAAGAAAUUGGCACAGAGGAAACUAGACCAAAGUGGUCAGCCAUUGGGACGCUGCUUACAGGAAAAGGCUUCAGUCAAAGCGCCCUAAUAGCUGAUAUGAGGGCAGCUUGGAAUCCGGCUCAAUCUGUGGUUUGGAGAAGGAUUAACCCAAACCUGUUUUCAAUCCAGUUCAAUUGCUUAGGGGACUGGAAUAAGGCCAUACAUCAAGGUCCUUGGGAUUUUCGGGGUGUUGCGCUCAUCCUUAAAGAGUAUGAUGGGUUCUCAAAACCAGAGAAGGUCAAGUUGGAUAAACUAGAGACAUCGUGCCAAAUUCAUAGACUUCCUGAUGGAGUCCUAAAGAAUAAAAGGUUCUUGGAAAAUCUAGCAAAGCGCAUUGGUGAUGUACAAGAGGUCCAAGUGACUUUACCGAAUAGUUUUGUGGGUGAGUUCAUUCGCGUUAGAGUUAAAAUUGAUGUCAACAAGAAGCUUACAAGGGUAGUUGGAAUAAAGAAAGGUGGGGAAACGGAGAAGUAUCUAGUUAAAUUUGAGAAACUUCCUACCUUUUGUAAUGCUUGUGGAUUCAUGGGCCAUUGGCACGAGUGUGGUUCGGGAGAGCAUGAUAAAAGCAAAUUUGAAUGGGGUCCAUUCAUACUCGCAUCAUGA
rnacentral:rRNA from 1 species